GUUCAUAUAGCUUAAAUUUAAAGCAUAGCGCUGAAAACGCUAAGAUGAGCCCUAAAAAGCUCUAUAAACA
rnacentral:tRNA from 1 species